UCCUGUGUUGGUUUUUCAUGUGCUUCUUCAGUUACUGGUUUUUCAGGUUUCUCCUUAGUUGUUGGUUCUUCGCUUGUCUCCUCAGCUGAUUGUUCUUCAAGCUUCUCUCCUGUUGUUGAUUUUUCUGGUUUCUCUUCAAUUAUCGGUGGUUCAGGUUUUUUCUCAACCGGUGAUUCUUCUGGUUUCUCCAAAACCAUUGAUUCUUCAUGUUUUUUUUCAACUACUGACUCUUCAGUGUUUUCCUCAACUGAUGCAUAGUCAGCAAUAUCGUUGUUGGUAUUGCUUGGAAUUGCAUUGUCUAUCUUGUCCUUUGAGUUUACUUUUGGCAUAUUCUGCAAUGAAGUUUCACGUAGUCUUUCAAUAGAUAAACAAAUGUAAAUUUGUUGCACAUAUAAAAGCUAAUAUGAUGGAUAAAAUUUGUGCCAGUGUUUAAUCCUCACCUUCUCCUGAAGAGCUUCCGCUUCAAGUUCCUCCUCUUCAAUUGCAGGUUUUUCAUCUUUCUCUCCAACAACUAGUUCUUCAGGUUUCUCUUCAAGUGCCAGUUCUUCAGGUGUUUCCUCCUUUGCCAGCUCUUCAGGUGUUUCCUCCUUUGCCAGCUCUUCAGGUGUUUCUUUAGCUGCCGGUUCUUCAGGUUUCUCUUCAACCUCCGGUUCUUGUGGUAUUUCCUCUACUUGUACUUCAGAUUUCUCCUCAAUUGUUGGUUCUUCAGGUUUCUCUCUAACCGCUGCUGCAUUAGGUUUCUCUUCAUUGGCUGGUUCUUCAGGUUUUUCUUCAACUACCGAUUCUUCAGGAUUUUCCUCAAUGUUUGGAAAGGGAGCGACAUCAUUAUUGGUAUUGCAUGGAAUUUCACUGCCAGUUUUGUCAUUCAAGUCCACAACUAGUAUAUUCUGCAAAAGAGUUUAAUGUUUCACUUAGUCUUUCAAUAAAGAAGCAGAUGCGAAUCAUUACAUAUACAUAACUAAUAACAUGGAUAAACUUUAUGACAGUAGUUGACCCUUACCUUUUCCACAAGAGUUACUUUUGCAGGUUUCUCCUCUUCAAGUGCUGGUUUCUCUUCAAAUGAUAGUUCAUUAGGUGUUUCUUCCCGUGUUGGUUCUUCAUGUGCUUCUUCAGUUACUGGUUUUUCAGGUUUCUCCUCAAUUGUUGGUUCUUCGCUUGUCUUCUCAACUGAUGGUUCCUCAUGCUUCUCUCCCGUUGUUGAUUUUUCGGGUUUCUCUUCAGUUGUCGAUGGUUCAGUUUUUUUCUCAACCGCUGGUUCUUUUGGCUUCUCCAAAACCAUUUCCGAUUUCUCUUCAGUUGGUGGUUCUUCAUGGUUUUUUUCAACUACUGGUUCUUCUCUUUUUUCCUCAACUGAUGCAUAGUCAGCAAUAUCGUUGUUGGUAUUGCUUGGAAUUGCAUUGUCUGUCUUGUCCUUUGAGCUUACAAUUGGCAUAUUCUGCUAGAAAAAUAUAAAGUUUCAUGUAGUCUUUCAACAGAGAAACCAAUGUAAAUUUGUUGCACAUAUAAAGCUAACAAAUAUGAUGGAUAGACUUUGCGAGAGUGUUUAAUACUCACCUUCUCCGGAAGAGCUUCCGUUUCAGGUUCCUCUUCAAUUUCUGCUUUUUCAUCUUUCUCUUCAACAACUAGUUCUUCAGGUGUCUCUUCAACCGUUGAUUCUUCAGGUUUCUCUUCAAGUGUUAGUUCUUGAGGUGUUUCCUCCUUUGCUAGCUCUUCAGGUGUUUCUGUAACUGCCGGUUCUUCAGGUUCCUCUUCAGCCACCGGCUGUUGACGUAUCUCCUCUACUUGUACUUCAGAUUUCUCCUCAAUUGUUGGUUCUUCAGGUUUCUCCUUAACCGCUGGUACAUCAGGUUUAUCCUCAUUGACUGGUUCUUCAACUGCUGAUUCUUCUAGAUUUUCCUCAAUGUCUGGAAAGCGAGCAACAUCAUUAUUGGUAUUGCAUGGAAUUUCAUUUCCAGUUUCGUUAUUCGAGUCUACAAUUAGCAUAUUCUGCAAAAAGAAUUUAAUGUUUCAUUUAGCCUUUCAAUAAAGAAGCAUAUGCGAAUAACAGUACAUGCAUAACUAACAAAAUGGAUAAACUUUGUGAUAGUGCUUGAUCCUUACCUUUGCCAAAAGAGUUACCUUUUCAGGUUUCUCCUCUUCAACGGUUGGUUCUUCAUGUUUCUUUUCAAAUGCUAGUUCCUUGGUUGUUUCUUCCGGUGUUGGUUCCAUAGGUGUUUCUUCAGUUACUUGUUUUUCGGGUUUCUCUUCAAUUAUUGGUUCUUCGAUUGUCUUCUCAACUGAUGGUUCUUCAAGAUUUUCUCCCACUGUUGGUUUUUGGGGUUUCUCUUCUAUUGUUGGUUGUUCAGGAAUUUUCUCAACUGGUGGUUCUGCUGGAUAUUCCAAAACCAUUGAUUCUUCAGAUUUCUCUUCAAUUGAUGGUUCUUCAUGGGUUUUUUCAACUACUGGUUCUUCAAUUUUUUCCUCAACAGAUGCAUAGUCAACAAUAUCAUUAUUGGUAUUGCUUGGAAUUGCAUCGUCUGUCAUGUCCUUUGAGUUUACUUUUGGCAUAUUCUGCAAUAGAGUUUCAUGUAAUCUUUCAACAGAUAAACAGAUGUAAAUUUGUUGCACAUAUAAAGCUAAUAUGGUGGAUAAACUUUGUGACAGUGUUUAAUCCUCACCUUCUCCUGAAGAUCUUCCGCUUCAAGUUCCUCCUCUACAAUUGCAGUUUUUUCCUCUUCCCCUUCAACAACUAGUUCUUCAGGUGCCUCUUCAGCCGUUGAUUCUUCAGGUUUCUCUUCAAGUGCUAGUUCUUCAGGUGUUUCCUCCUUUGCCAGCUCUUCAGGUGUUUCUUUAGAUGCCGAUUCUUCAGGUUUCUCUUCAGCCAUCGGUUCUUGAGGUAUUUCCUCUACUUGUACUUCAUAUUUCUCCUCAAUUGUUUGUUCUUCAGGUUUCUCUUCAGGUUUCUCCUUAACCACUGGUACAUCAGGUUUCUCUUGAUUAACUGGUUCUUUGGGUUUUUCUUCAACAGCCGAAUCUUCAGGAUUUUCCUCAAUGUCUUGAAAGCAAGCAAUAUCUUUAGUGGUAUUGCAUGGAAUUUCACUGCCAGUUUUGUUGUUCGAGUCUACAAUUAGCAUAUUCUGCAAAAGGAAUUUGAUGUUUCAUUUAGCCUUUUAAUAAAGAAGCAGAUGUGAAUAACAUUACAUGCAUAACUUACAAAAUGGAUAAAUUUUGUGACAGUCCUUGACCCUUACCUUUUCAGGUUUCUCCUCUUCAACAGCUGAUUCUUCAUGUUUCUCUUCAAAUGCUAGUUCUCUGGGUGUUUCUUCCCGUAGUGCUUCUUCAUGUGCUUCUUCAGUUACUGGUUUUUCAGGUUUCUCCUCAAUUGUUGGUUCUUUGAUUGUCUCCUCAACAGAUGGUUCUUCAAGCUUCUCUCCCGUUGUUGAUUUUUCUGGUUUCUCUUCAAUUGCUGGUUGUUCAGGAAUUUUCUCAACAGCUGGUUCUUCUGGCUUCUCUAAAACCAUUGAUUCUUCAGCUUUCUCUUCAAUUGAUGGUUCUUCAUGGUUUUUUUCAACUAUUGGUUCUUCAGUUUUUUCCUCAACGGAUGCAUAGUCAACAAUAUCAUUGUUGGUAUUGCUUGGAAUUGCAUCGUCUGUCAUGUCCUUUGAGUUUACUUUUGGCAUAUUCUACAAUAAAGUUUCAUGUAGUCUUUCAAUAGAUAAACAGAUGUAAAUUUGUUGCAACAUAUAAAGCUAAUAUGGUGGAUAAACUUUGUGACAGUGUUUAAUCCUCACCUUCUCCCGAAGAUCUUCCGCUUUAAGUUCCUCCUCUUCAAUUGCUGUUUUUUCAUCUUUCGUUUCAACAACUAGUUCUUCAGGUGCCUCUUCAGCCGUUGAUUCUUCAGGUUUUUCUUCAAGUGCCAGCUCUUCAGGUGUUUCCUCCUUUGCCAUCUCUUCAGGUGUUUCCUCCUUUGCCAGCUCUUCAGGUGUUUCUUUAGCUGCUGGUUCUUCAGGUUUCUCUUCAGCCGCCAGUUCUUGAGGUAUCUCCUUUUCUACUUCAGAUUUCUCCUCAACUGUUGGUUCUUCAGGUUUCUCUUCAUUAACUGGUUCUUUGGGUUUUUCUUCAACAGCCGAAUCUUCAGGAUUUUCCUCAAUGUCUGGAAAGUGAGCAACAUCUUUAUUGGUAUUGCAUGCAAUUUCACUGUCAGUUUUGUCGUUCAAGUCUACAAUUAGCAUAUUCUGCAAAAAGAAUUUGAUGUUUCAUUUAGCCUAUUAAUAAAGAAGCAGAUGUGAAUAACAUUACAUGCAUAACUUACAAAAUGGAUAAACUUUGUGAUGGUCCUUGACCCUUACCUUUCCAGGCUUCUCCUCUUCAACGGCCAGUUCUUGUUUCUCUUCAAAUGCUAGUUCCCUGGGUGUUUCUUCCUGUAUUGGUUCUUCAUGUGCUUCUUCAGGUACUGGUUUUUCAGGUUUCUCCUCAAUUGUUGGUUCUUCGAUUGUCUCCUCAACAGAUGGUUCUUCAAGGUUCUCUCCCGUUGUUGAGUCUUCUGGUUUCUCUUCAAUUGCUGGUUGUUCAGAAAUUUUCUCAACAGCUGGUUCUUCUGGCUUCUCCAAAACCAUUGAUUCUUCAGCUUUCUCUUCAAUUAAAGGUUCUUCAUGGUUUUUUUCAACUACUGUUUCUUCAGUUUUUUCCUCAACGGAUGCAUAGUCAACAACAUCAUUGUUGGUAUUGCUUGGAAUUGCAUCGUCUGUCAUGUCCUUUGAGCUUACUUUUGGCAUAUUCUGCAAUAAAGUUUCAUGUAGUCUUUCAAUAGAUAAACAGAUGUAAAUUUGUUGCACAUAUAAAGCCAAUAUGGUGGAUACACUUUGUGACAGUGUUUAAUCCUCACCUUCUCCUGAAGAUCUUCCGCUUCAAGUUCUUCCUCUUCAAUUGCUGUUUUUUCAUCUCUCUCUUCAACAACUUGUUCUUCAGGUGCCUCUUCAGCCGUUGAUUCUUCAGGUUUCUCUUCAAGCACUAGUUCUUCAGGUGUUUCCUCCUUUGCCAGCUCUUCAGGUGUUUCUUUAGCUGCCAGUUCUUCAGGUUUCUCUUCAGCUGCCGAUUCUUGAGGUAUUUCCUUUACCUGUACUUUAGAUUUCUCCUCAAAUGUUGGUUCUUCAGGUUUCUCCUUAACCGCAGGUACAUCAGGUUUCUCUUCAGCUGCUGGUUUUUGAGGUUUCUCCUCUACUUGUACCUCGGAUUUCUCCUCAACCAUCGGUUCUUCAGGUUUCUCCUCAACCUCUGGUACGUCAGGUUUCUCUUCAUUAACAAGUUCUUCACUUUUUUCUUCAAUAGUUGAUUCUUCAGGAUUUUCCUUAGUGUCUGGAGAGUAAGCAACAUCAUUAUUGGUAUUGCAUGGAAUUUCACUGCCAGUUGUGUCGUUCGACUCUACCAUUGGCAUAUUCUGCAGAAAGAAUUUAAUGUUUCACUUUGCCUUUCAAUAAAGAAGCCGAUGUAAAUCAGAGGACAUACAUAACUAAAAAAGAUGGAUUAACUUUGUGAUAGUGUUUGACUCUUACCUUUUCGAAAAGAGUUAUCUUUUCAGGUUUCUCCUCUUCAACUGUUGGUUCUUCAUGUUUCUCUUCAAAUGCUAGUUCCUCAGGUGUUUCUUCCUGUAUUGGUUCCUCAGGUGUUUCUUCUUCUGUUACUUGCUUUUCAGGUUUCUCCUCAAUUGUUGGUUCUUUGAUUGUCUCCCCAAUCGAUGGUUCUUCAAGCUUUCCCCCCCCUGUUGGUUUUUCAGGUUUCUCUUCAAUUUUCGGUUGUUCAGGUAUUUUCUCAACUGCCGGUUCUUCUGCCUUCUCCAACACCAUUGAUUCUUCAGAUUCCUCUUCAAUUGAUGAUUCUUCAUGGGUUUUUUUAACUACUGACUCUUCUGUGUUUUCCUCAACUGAUGCAUAAUCAGCAAUGUCGUUGUCGGUAUUGCUUGGAAUUGCAUUGUCUAUCUUGUCCUUUGAGUUUAAUUUUGGCAUAUUCUGCAAUAAAGUUUCAUGUAGUCUUUCAAUAGAUAAACAGAUGUAAAUUUGUUGCACUCAUAAAGCUAAUAUGAUGGAUAAAAUUUGUGACAGUGUUUAAUCCUCACCUUCUCCUGAAAAACUUCUGUUUCAAGUUCCUCCUCUUCAAUUGCUGCUUUUUCAUCUUUCUUCUCUACAACUAAUUCUUCAGGUUCCUCCUCAACGGUUGAUUCUUCAGGCUUUUCUUCAAGUACUAGUUCUUCAGGUGUUUCCUCCUUUGCUAGCUCUUCAGGUGUUCCUUUAGCUGCCGGUUCUUCUGGCUUCUCUUCAGCCUCCGGUUUUUGAGAUAUCUCCUCUACUUGAACUUUAGAUUUCUCAUUAAUUGUUGGUUCUUCAGGUUUCACCUCAACCGCUGGUACAUCAGAUUUCUCCUCAUUAACUGGUUCUUCAGGUUUUUCUUCAACAGCCAAUUCUUCAGGAAUUUCCUCAAUGUCUGGAAAGUGAACAACAUUAUUCUUCGUAUUGCAUGGAAUUUCACUGCCACUGUUGUCGUUCGAGUCUAUAAUUAGCAUAUUCUGCAUAAAGAAUUCAAUGUUUUACUUAGCCUUUCAAUAAAGAAGCAGGUGUGAAUCACAAUACAUGCAUAUCUAACAAAAUGGAUAAACUUUGUGAUAGUGCUUGGCCCUUACCUUUUCUAAAAGAGUUUCCUUUUCAGGUUUCUCCUCUUCGAUGGCUGGUUCUUCAUGUUUCUCUUCAAAUGGUAGUUCAUUUGGUGUUUCUUCUCGUGUUGGUUCUUCAGGUGCUUCCUCAGUUACUGGUUUUACAGGUUUCUCUUCAACUGUUAGUUCUUCGAGUGUCUCCUCCAUCGAUGGUUCCUCAAGUUUCUCUCUUGCUGCUGGUUUUUCAGAUUUAUCUUCAACUAUCGGUUGUUCAGGUUUAUUCUCAAUCGCUGGUUCUGCAGGCUUCUCCGAAACCGCUGAUUCUUCAGAUUUCUCUUCAAUUGGUGAUUCUUCGUGUUUUUUUUCAACUACGGGUUCUUCAGUUUUUUCCUCAACUGAUGCAUAAUCAGCACUAUCAUUGUUGGUAUUGCAUGGAGUUGCAUUUUCUGUCUUGUUCUUUGAGCCUACAAUUGGUGAAUUCUGCAAAAAAUUUAAAAUUUCAUUUAGUCUUUAAAUAGAUAAACAGAUGUAAAUUCAUUGCACAUAUAAAGCUAAUAUGAUAGAUAAACUUUGUGACAGUGUUUAAUCUUCACCUUCUCCUGAAGAGCUUCCAUUUCUAGUUCCUCCUCUUCACUUGCUGGUUUUUCAUCUUUCUCUUCAACAACUAGUUCUUCAGGUGUCUUUAUAGUCUUUGAUUCUUCAGGUGCUUCUUUAUCUGCCCGUUCUUCAGGUUUCUCUUCAGCCACCGGUUCUUGAGGUAUAUUCUCUUGUACUUCAGAUCUCUCCUCAAUUAUUGGUUCUGCAGGUUUCUCUUCAUUGUCUGGUUCUUUGGGUUUUUCUUCGACAGCCAAUUCUUCAAGAUGAUUUUCCUCAAUGUCUGGAAAGUGAGCAACAUCAUUAUUGGUAUUGCAUGGAAUUUCACUGUCAGUUUUGUCGUUCAAGUCUACAAUUAGCACAUUCUGCAAAAAGAAUUUAAUGUUUCACUUAGCCUUGCAACAAAAAAGCAGAUGUGAACAACAAUAUGUGCAUAACUAACAAAAUGGAUAAAUUUUGUGAUAGUGCUUACCUUUUCAGGUUUCUCCUCUUCAACCGCUGGCUCUUCAUAUUUCUCUGCAAGUGCUGGUUUUUCAGGCUUCUCUUCAACUGUCAGUUGUUCAGUUUUCUUAUCAAUGACCAGUUCUUCAAGAUUCUCCGAAACAACAGAUACUACAGAUUUAUUUUCAAGUGCAAGUUCUUCAUGUGUUUCCUCUCCUGCAAACUCUUCAGAUGUUACUUUUGAUGUCGGUGCUACAGGUUUCUCUUCAAGUGCUAGUUCUUCAUGUGUUUCCUCCCCUGCUAGCUCUUCAGUUUUUUCUUUCGAUGUUGGUUCUUCAGGUUCCUCUUUAACCUCUGGUACAUCAUGUUUCUUUUCAAUAACUAAUUCUUCAGGUUUUUCUUCAACUUCAACUGCUGGUUCUUCGAGUUUUUUCUCAAUUUCUGGAAAGUGAGCAGUAUUGUUGUUGGUAUUGCAUGGAAUUUCAUUAUCAGUUUUGUCCUUAGAGUCUACAACUAGCAAAUUCUGCAAGAAGUAUUUAAAGUUUCACUUAGUCUUUUGUAGAUAAGCAGAUGUGAAUUGUUACACUUACAUAACUAAUAGGAUGGAUAAACUUUAUCACAGUGCCUGACCCUCGCCUUAUCCAAAAGAGUUACCUUUUCAGAUUUCUCUUCAAAUGCUAGUUCAUUUGGUGUUUCUUCCCGUGUUGGUUCUUCAGGUGCUUCUUCAGUUACCCUUUUUUCUGGUUUAUCUUCAACUGUUGGUUCUUCUAGUGUCUCCUCAAUCGAUGGUUCUUCAAGUUUCUCCCUUGGUGCUAGUUUUUCAGAUUUAUCUUCAACUGUUGGUUGUUCAUGUUUAUUCUCAACCGCUGAUUCUUCAGGCUUCUCCAAAACCGCUGAGUCUUCAGAUUUCUCUUCAAUUGUUGGUUCUUCAUGUUUUUUUUCAACUACUGGUUCUUCAGUUUUUUCCUCAACUGAUGCAUAAUCAGCAAUAUCUUUGCUGGUAUUGCAUGGAAUUGCAUUUUCUGUCUUGUUCAUUGGGUCUACUAUUGGCGAAUUCUGCAAAAAAAUUUAAAGUUUCUUUUAGUCUUUCAAUAGAUAAACAGAUGUAAAUUCGUUGCGCACAUAAAGCUAAUAUGAUGGAUAAACUUUGUGACUGUUUAAUCCUCACAUUCUCCUGAAGAGCUUCCAUUUCAGGUUUCUCCUCUUCAAUUGCUGGUUUUUCAUCAUUCUCUUCAACCACUAGUUCUUCAAGUGUAUCUUCAACCGUUGGUUUUUCAGGUUUCUCUUUAAGGGUUUCCUCCCCUGCUAGAUCUUCAGAUGUUUCUCUUUCUGUUGGUUCUUCAGGUUUCUCUUCAGCCUCUGGUUUCUUAAUUUUUUCCUCAAAUGAUUCUUCAGAUUUCUGCUCAACUGUUGGUAAAUCAGGUUUCUCUGGUUCCUCGGGUUUUUCUUCAACUGCUGGUUCCUCAACUUUUGCAAAGUUAGCAGCAUCGUUUAGGGUAUUGCAUGGAAAUUCUUUGUCAGUUUUGUUGUUUGAGUCUACAGCUAGCAUUUUCUGCUAGAGGAAUUUAAAGUUUCAGUUAGUCUUUAAGUAGAUAAGCAAAUAUGGACUGUUGCACAUACAUAACUAAGACAAUGGAUAAACUUUGUGCCAGUGCUUGAUCCUCACCUUUUCCAAGAGAGUUACCUUAUUAGGUUUCUCCUCUUUAACUGCUGGUUUUCCACCUUUCUCUUCAACUGCUAGUUGUUCUGUUGUUUCUUCAACUGUUCGUUCUUCAAGUUUUUCUUUGAAUUCUAAUUUUUCCGGUGUUUUUUCCCGUGUUGGUUCUUUUGGUGUUUCUUCAACUACUAGUUCUUCGAGUUUCUCUUCAGCUGCUGUUUUUUCAAAUUUCUCCUGAACCUCUGUUUCUUUCUCUUGCACAACUGGCUCUUCAGGGUUUUUUUCAACUUCUGGUUCUUCAUGUUUCUCUGUAACUGUUGGUUCUUUAUGUUUCUCUUCAAUCAUUGGUUCUUCAUGUUUUUCUUCAACUGCUAGUUCUUCAGAUUUUUCCUCUACUGCUGGAUGGUCAGCAACAUCUUGGUUUCCCUUCUCGAUUAAGUUGUUCCCGUGUUUCCCGCUCGUAUCUGAUUCAGCAUCAUCUAAUCUAGUUUCUUCGACAACGUUAAUAAAUGAGUUACCAAGCACAAAUUGUUCUUGUACCAUUCGACCGUCAUCCUUGUCCGAGCUAGUUGCUGAUUCUUUUGCAUUUUCUGGGUAGCCAUUUGAAGAAAUAUUUUCAGCUGGGCUGAUUUCUACUCUUUCAUCUUCUGUUUUCUCCCCCUGGUGGAAUGAACUCCCGAAGAUCUGUUCAUCUGACUUGUUUGGUGUAUCGACUGACACAUGGACCUCUAUUGAACUGCCAUUUUCUUCAACAGCCUUGGAAACUAAGGGUGAUGCAUAAAAAAUUUCACCCCCAGUGAUUCCAUAGUUACCUUUAGUCAGAUCCUUAAUACUUGCAACCUCUGAAGCUCUUUCAAAUUCAGAUUGUGAAUGGCCCUUCUCGUCUUUCUCCAUCUUCAGUUUGUCUGAUAUUGUAUACACUUCCCCUAGCAAAUUCUCUUUUUUUUCCUGCAUAAAGGAAUGAUUUUUGCUAUGUCGUUACAGAAUUAAGAGAAAAUGUGUUUAACUUAUCUAACAUUGGCAGAGCAGCACUGAAGUUACAACAGGAUAUUUGUCAGACUAACCCUGCGAUAUUGGAACUGCAUGUAUUAGCAAGAUCUCUGUUUUAUCAUUGAAAUGGAGUUACUAACCCAAGCCUAGUGGUAAAAGCCGCAGAUGUCCCAACAUAGGACCUAUUCAGUAAACCCAUGUUUGAGAAUCCCCCCAGAAAGAGUUGCUAUUACUCUUCCCUGUAUUAACCAAUUAAUCUCCAACAGGACCUAUUUACUCUUCGUAUAAUGUAUCAGAUAUUCUUCAUUGGCGUAAAGAGACUGCAACAGUAUGGAGGGAGGUGAUUAGGAAUGAUAUGGAGCAGUUACAGCUUACGGAGGACAUGACCCUUGAUAGGAAGGUGUGGAGGACGCGGAUUAGGGUAGAGGGUUAGGGGGUGGGAGUGCGUCGGUAUCAGUAGGGGAGCGUUCUUUUGUGUCUAGAGUUUCUUGUUCGUGGUGUUGUGGCUGUAGUAUUAUCUUGGGGCUAGCGGUGUUAGUUUAUUUUGCAUACCGUACUAGCUUAUAUGCACUUAUCUUUUGUGUUUGUUAUAUUGUUGGUUUAUUUUGCAUACCGUACUAGUUUACAUGUACUUAUCUUUUGUGUUUACUAUACUAUUAUCGGUCCUAAGCCGGGGUCUAUCGGAAACAACCUUUCUACCUCUCUACCUCACCUGAGGUAAUGGUAUGGUCUGCGUACACUCUACACUCCCUAGACCCCACUAUGUGGGAAUAUACUGGGUAUGUUGUUGUUGUUGUUGUUGGCGUAAAGAGACUGCAGUAUUAAACAAUAGGAAAAACAAUGCAGGAAUACUUCUACCUACAAUAUUUGAAGUUUGUGAAAAGUCGAUGAGAUACUGUUUAUUGCAUGUACAAGUGAUGUGUUAGUGGCUUCUAAAGAAAGAUAAAUUUUGAGUUAUCAGUUGGGUAAAUACAGAUUAGUUCGUCAGUUGGGGGCUUAAGUUAUUUACUUCUGAGAGUAUAUAUAUUAAUUACCAGUAGCAUGUUUCUAGAUUAGCUUGAUGUGACAAAGAAGUUAUAUAGAGAAUUUGAAGUGUUGGUGUCAAACAGUCAUGAUAAUCCAAUUACCUCUAACAUUUUCCGUUAAGUGUUUCUAAAAUAUGAGAAUAUUGAUUUGAAAUGUAUAUUUAUAAUUUCUCCAUGUAAGAACUUGAGUGGAACAAUUCUCCUUCCAGGCUAACUAGAUGUCGUCUCACACAAUUAAAAUGAGGAACACGUUGUUGUUCUAAGCUCAUGUUCGCUCCUCAAAACUAACACCUCAGACCAUACUAAACUUCAUUUCAGAAUAUGACAGCUAAUGUUAAAAUGAAGUAUUCACUUUCUCCUUGCUAAAGCUACCACAAUCUGUUAUGGAGUCGGGGCAAUACAAUUAACAAGAAAAUGAAUCUUUAGUUACACCCAAACUCAGCCUUUGUUUCCCUAUAGUUCUCUUUCGACCACAAGCUAUAAUUUUCUUUUAAUUAAACCAGUAUCUUUCAAUGCUAAUUUAUUUACGAAGAGUUUUUUUGAAAGUCAGAUUUCAUUAAUUCGUUUCUGUGCUAAUUUAAGUUUUCCCUAGGUAUUCUUUUUGUCAAUAUCUAUAUUCUAUAGUCUUUUGGAGAGGGUCAAGUUUUCAGUACUACAUUAUUAAAGGUGAGUAGUUGAGAAUUAAUAAUUGUGCUGAUUUGUUUCUGUGCCAUUUCUUUUUAGGCUAGCUUUGGAUGGCUUCAGGAGGAGUAGAGGUAGGCGAAAGAAAUACUGGAGGGAGGUAAUUAGGUAGGACAUGAAGUUGUUUCAGCUUACUGAGGACAUGACCCUAGACAGGAAGGUGUGGAGGUCGUGGAUUAGGGUAGAAGGCUAGUGUGAGUGGGUGGGUUGUGGCUAGGUGUUAGUAGAGUUUGGGUGUGAUAGGUGUCUUAGGUCUGUGAAUGUGUGUGACUACUACAUGGGUAUCCGUUUUCCUUAUUUCUUAUUACGUAUUGUUCGUUGUUCUCUUAUUUUCUUUUCUCGGAUAUCUAGUGUUAUUAUUUCUUACCUUUUAUUUUGUUAUGCUACCCAUCCAGUUUUAUAUUUCAUUACGAUCUUGGUAUAUUAUUCUAUAUCUUGAGCCGGGGGUCUAUCGGAAUCAACCUCUCUACUUCCUCGGAGGUAGCGGUAUGGACUGCGUACAUUUUACCCUCCCCAGACCUCACUUUGUGGGAAUACACUGGGACUGUUGUUGUUGUUGUUGUUGUAUUACCCCUCCAUACAUACACAUAUAUAGAAGUCAAGUUGCUAUUGCCUAAGAAGAAGAUCAACUAAAAUAUAGAACAUACAGCCAGGAACUUGUAUGUUAUCUCAGGAUCGAGUUUUUAUUGUAAAAUAAACAAUUUGAACCAGUUGAAUAUCUACUAAUUGUAGAAAUAACAUACAAGUUCCGAAAAUAGGAAACCUCUAUUAAAUGAUGGGCAAAUCUAAACAAAUUUUCUUUUUUCAUCGAAGACUGCAUGGCAGUAAUUUUAGAUGAAGACGGUAACCCUUAAUUCGGUUCUUUAGCGACCAUCUUUGUGGUUUGAAGAAAAUUGGUAAUGAUCUGGUAAAGUUAUUUCACUAGCAUACUUCAUAUUACACAGUUGUUUCAGAUAUGAUCUCUGAUCAUGCAGUGUCUUUUUUCUCAGAAAAAGGUCUUUUCACAUACAUGAAAGCAAUCUUGACUACUGAAAAAAAGAUGUAGAAGUAACUGUUGCGGCUAAUGGAAAUGAUAAACACGCAAAAUGAUGAAGUAUCAUGCUCACAUAAAGUAAAACAAGUGAGUUAACUUACGCUUUUGUUCUCUGGUAUUUCAGCUAUGUAUUCCAAUUCUCGUGAGCUGAUCGCUGAAUUGCUGUGUUUACGUUUUCUCAACCUCCCUAAAGACUAUCAGAGUGUGUUUUGUACAACUGAACUGGACUGAAAAUUCUCAUAGCUAUAAGUAGAGAUUCUCUAAGUAUGUCGAUGCAGGAUUACAAUAGUUAUAUAAUUAUUAAUUGAUGACCAUGUUGUUAAAGUAGAUAGAAAAUGACAAAUCCACUUGCUAAUCCUACUAAUAUUAUGAGUUGGAAAUAGACGUGGUCCUUUUGAAUGAUGAGUAGUCACAUGCCCCUCUAGUAUAGCUUUUCUAGUCAUCAAACAGUCAGAUAAUUGUUUCUAAUUUAUAACUGCAGGGAUUGUGCUGCUGACAAGAAGAAACUGCCACAAGAAUUUACUGUUCACUUCAUCCCAG
rnacentral:lncRNA from 1 species